CUGCGCCCUGCGGAGCUCCGAACACGUGCGCAGAGGCUGGCUGUGGCAGAUGCAACUGCAGGAUGACUUGAAAGUAGGGCAUCCUUCACCCAUCUGAAGGGAGGAAAUAGUGGCAGGUGACAGUCUGCAUGUGCAGUUUUCAGAUGCCUUCACCUGAAUGACAUCUACCUCCAUCAGGACCCCAGAUGUCUGACAGCCCUGUGUGACACCAAGAUAAGUAACGAUCCCGUUGAAGAUACCACAUUACACUUAGGCUCCUGUUGGCCAUGACAGCUUCUUAGACUUGUUUUUAAUGACCUUGACAGUUUUGUUUUUUUGUUUGUUUGUUUUUGAGACGGAGUCUCUGUCAUCCAGGCUGGAGUGCAAUGUAAUGGCUCAAUCUCAGCUCACUGCAACCUCUGCCUCCCGGGUUCAAGUGAUUCUCCUGCCUCAGCCUCCCCAGUAGCUGGGAUUACAGGCAUGAGCCACCGUGCCCGGCUGCCUCCUAAAUUCUCAAAACAUUCCAUUUUUAUUCUGUGGUCUUACUUUAUUCUGUCAUGUAGAGAAUAGUGGUUGAGCCUGUUGUCUUUUGAGAGUGGAUGCUGUAGUCCUUACAUGGCUGACUUUCAGCCCGUAAGCUUAUAGUAGAGGAUGGGGAUUUUGUUAUCAGCUGCUAAAAGGGAGAAGCCAAGCCCAGAACUAAGGGUUCUGAUGAGUUGAAGGAGAGGGAAGAUGCCCCUCAAGGCAAAGAGCCUCUGAGUUAGAAUCUGUGCUUCACCAGAGUGACAAUGGUAGAACUUCUCCUUCUCAGUAUUAAUUCUCCUGGAGAGAACUCUAGGGUUGUCUAAACCUGUUCAACUAGGCUGACUACCCCAGCAAGUGAUGGGUUGGACAUAAGGCAAAGAACAGGAGGGGUGAAAGGGGGCAGAACAGACAAGUUCUGUCCCAGCCUCUGCUACCUCUAACCCCAUGGCAUUCUAUC
rnacentral:lncRNA from 1 species